rnacentral:lncRNA from 1 species
UCUUAAAAUACUUCAUUAGGCAUCAGCCAAGAUCUUCAUGUAUUAGCCCAUUUGGUUCUCUGCAAUUCCUUGCUUUGGGCAUUGCAAAUUGUAUUACUCAGGGCGGUUUGAUGCGUGAUACAUGGCCACAUUGCAAGCCUAACUCUGCUCUUCAGAAGAAGGCUUUCAUGGUUAAGUCCAUCAGUUUUCACAAUUAUAAAACUGGCCCCGAAGGCAGUGUGAAGGAUUUAAAUAUGUAAAGACCAACGCAUCACACUGCCGGAUUUGGAGGUGAGUUGGCCUGGCUGGAGAACGGGAAGGAUGUGGGUGGUGACAAAAUGGCUGCUGUGAAGGACCUCUGGAGGACCACUCAUAGGAAAAUGAGUAGCUGGAAUGGCCAGGCCUCCCAUAGAAACUCAAGGCUGGUUGUUUUACCCCAGAGAGCGUGUAUUUUGCCUCUGGCUUAGUUUAUGAGGCUACCAAGCAGACUGUACUGACAGUGGGGCACGGGUAAAAUACUGACAGCAGCUCCUUGGGGCUGGUGGCUUGCUACCAUGAGUCCAGCCUCCUAAUCCCCAUCCCAGACACAUCAGCGCUCAGCUAUUUUGAGUCUGCCUCAGGCUUCCAGAAAUACCAGGCAUGCUCUGAGCACACUCACAUUAGCACAGCCUGUGCCGUGAGAGCGUGGCAUAAGCUUGCUAGCAGAGCAGCUCCAUGCUAAGAGUGCCAUGCGUGCCCACCAAGCCGCCCGCCCACUGCUGUAGGUCAACACUGCUCUGGGUAUAAGCAGCAGAGAUUUGGCAAAUUGAGAACGGACUACAAAUGGAUGAUUCUUUAUUAAAAAUCCUUUUUCUUUCUUUUUCCUCAAUGAACCUUCAUCUUUUCAAACUGUGUCUUUCCUGAGGUGUAUGGUUGGCUCAAAGCAGCAUGAGGAGUGGAUUAAUUAUAUCACUUCUAUAUGAU